rnacentral:tRNA from 1 species
GGAAACGUGGCCGAGCGGCUGAAGGCACGUCCCUGCUAAGGACGCAUGUGGGCUUAAACCUGCAUCUAGGGUUCGAAUCCCUCCGUUUCCGCCA